CCCGAAAUUGACUCAUUAGACAGAUCGCGGUCAAUGCAUUUCAAACUUGUUGACACCAGCACUGAGCUCGACAUGGUACUGGAGUAACUACCAAAAUGUCAUUUGGCUAUAGGCAAUUCCAGCUUUUAAUUUAUGCGCGCAGGGGAUGACGGUUAGUAAGGUAUCAUUAUCAUAUUGCUGAUUAUACAAAAAAAUUCAAUAAAACCUGCCGAAACAACCGAUAUAUUUCAAUAUUUACAAGUAUAAGCUAUCACUUAGUGUUUACACAGUCGCCAUUUUUAUUUUUUCAGCAUAAUCAGAAAUAUGAUACCUUACUCCCAUCUCUCCCUGCACGCAGAAAUUAAAAGCUGGAAUUGCCAAUUGGCAGCCCUUCCUGUUGUUAGUUAAUAAGCGGUGAAGGUGUAUUACUGUGGAAAAUGCUGCAUUGCACCAUCGCAGUCUGUUCUUCAGAUUGACUGUACAAUGUACAUCCUUAUCUUUAAAAUUAGAAUUUGUAUUAGCGCAUGAGUAAGGAAUAUUUUCUGUAAUAAUUCCUAAUACAUUUUUAAAAUUUGUUUCAGUAAGUUGGUAUGUGCAGUCAACCUGAGCAAGAGACUGGGCUGUCUGUUCAGUGUUAUUAGAGAACUUUUAUUGAAGUUUUAUGUUUUCGUAGUGUAAAUGUUUAGUUGUAAUUUAUGUGCUCGGGGUUUGCCUUGUUGGGACUUCGAAUCCGUUCGCCGAUCCCAUAUCUAACUCGCCUUUGUUUGUUCAUAAUGUCUUUUGUUUCGUUCUCACAUAGCACUGUAAGUUUCCUAGCGAGUUUGAUUAAAGCUUCUUACUUAAUACCUCGUUUUUGUGUAUACUAGAUUAGUUAAAUCCAAUCCUCCCAACCACGGAAACGAGGCUCUAUAACCAAAGUGACGUACUUUCCUAUAGUGUGAACCAGGCUUUAAGGCCCAUUUCCACUCAAGAAAAAUUUCCACGGACAGAAAAUCUUCCGAAAAUAUCAUUGUUAAAAGUUGAAAAUUUUCAACUUCAAAAUUUUUUCCCACGGAAAAUUUGUGUCGGCCAAUCACAUAUUACUAAUCACAUUUUACACAUCCUAAAUGGGCCUUUAGGAUGAGUUCUCAUGGCCAAAGUUGAUGAGCGGGUCCACUCCACAUCACACACUCCUAUCGACGGACAAAACACUUAAAGCACUUGACAUUUCCACAACACUGGCAAGUUGUUCACUUUGUUGAAAACUUGACGCACGGCUUCGCGGAUGAUACGGGGAAGACUCACGACCAACCCACAGCAAUCGUAGUGUCUUGCAAAUAAUCGCACGCAAGUUCGCCGAGAACGCGCAAUACAAGAGAGGAUUGAUUGAACAAUUUAAGAACACGAGAGAGAAAAGCCAUGCUGAUCUUUCAUUGAAAAAUGAAAUGGGAGCUUGACGCCUUUCAUUGAAAAUUGAAUUGAUACAAACCGGUAGAAAUGUCACAGCAAAGAAGAACACUACACUUCCACUAGUUUUGGCUGAUUUUAGCGUCCGUCUGAACACAACAGAGCCAACACUUCGCGCGGCCUGACUUUGAUCGUGGAUCGUUUUAAUUUGACGACAAGCUGCUCGGAAUAUUACUCCAUACAGAACUAACAUCGUCAAAACAGCAGUGCAAUUAACAAAAGAAAGAAAAUAGCGUAUUCCUUUCAUCUUGUACCAAACUACUAAAUAAAACAUGAAUGAGUAGACGAAUGAAACGAACCAAUUUGCAAUGAGCACAAGACGCGUCCUUGGCAGGGUCACAAGUGGGUUGUACCGAAGAGGCCAGAUUAUGGCAACAAAUCUAUCCGCAGUUAACAAGACAAUCCCAAACAUUUCCACAGUCAUCGCGAAUAAUAACAAAGCUUGAUGCACCAGAGUUUCUCGUAAACGAAGUAUUUCAUAGAGAUGAUACGGCAGCACAAUACUGCAAGCGAAAAAAUCUGAAAUUGUCAAACUGAGGAGAACAACAUUUGCGGGAAUUUCGAGCAGCCGGUGAUUGAAAAACAACACGAAUAUAACAAAACCGUUCAACAGUGAUCCGGCUAUAAUCUCCAGCACACUAAAUAUCAUAAAUCCUGUUUCGUAGCUUAUCCGACCAUAUUGGCUUGCGUUCUGUAACGAUUCAGUCCCGUUCGUUGACAUCCGGAUCAGUUUCGGACGAAAAUUUGAAAUAAACAAACCUUCGAUAUUUUUAAUCUCUGAA